UGCCAGCAGCCGCGGUAAUACGAAGGGUGCAAGCGUUAAUCGGAAUUACUGGGCGUAAAGCGUGCGUAGGUGGUUGUUCAAGUCUGUCGUGAAAGCCCUGGGCUCAACCUGGGAAUGGCGAUGGAAACUGGGCGACUGGAGUGCGGUAGAGGAUGGCGGAAUUCCCGGUGUAGCGGUGAAAUGCGUAGAGAUCGGGAGGAACAUCCGUGGCGAAGGCGGCCAUCUGGACCAGCACUGACACUGAGGCACGAAAGCGUGGGGAGCAAACAGGAUUAUAUACCCUGUUAG
rnacentral:rRNA from 1 species